rnacentral:piRNA from 1 species
UCGAAACUUGAAAAAGUACAGGGCUGUGU